GGUUAAGCGACUAAGCGUACACGGUGGAUGCCCUGGCAGUCAGAGGCGAUGAAGGACGUGCUAAUCUGCGAAAAGCGCCGGCGAGGUGAUAUGAACCUUUGACCCGGCGAUGUCCGAAUGGGGAAACCCAGUGUGAUUCGUCACACUAUCGUUAACUGAAUACAUAGGUUAACGAGGCGAACCGGGGGAACUGAAACAUCUAAGUACCCCGAGGAAAAGAAAUCAACCGAGAUUCCCCCAGUAGCGGCGAGCGAACGGGGAGCAGCCCAGAGUCUGAAUCAGCUUGUGUGUUAGUGGAAGCGUCUGGAAAGUCGCACGGUACAGGGUGACAGUCCCGUACACGAAAGCACACAGGUUGUGAACUCGAAGAGUAGGGCGGGACACGUGGUAUCCUGUCUGAAUAUGGGGGGACCAUCCUCCAAGGCUAAAUACUCCUGACUGACCGAUAGUGAACCAGUACCGUGAGGGAAAGGCGAAAAGAACCCCGGCGAGGGGAGUGAAAUAGAACCUGAAACCGUGUACGUACAAGCAGUGGGAGCACCUUCGUGGUGUGACUGCGUACCUUUUGUAUAAUGGGUCAGCGACUUAUAUUCUGUAGCAAGGUUAACCGUAUAGGGGAGCCGAAGGGAAACCGAGUCUUAACUGGGCGUUAAGUUGCAGGGUAUAGACCCGAAACCCGGUGAUCUAGCCAUGGGCAGGUUGAAGGUUGGGUAACACUAACUGGAGGACCGAACCGACUAAUGUUGAAAAAUUAGCGGAUGACUUGUGGCUGGGGGUGAAAGGCCAAUCAAACCGGGAGAUAGCUGGUUCUCCCCGAAAGCUAUUUAGGUAGCGCCUCGUGAACUCAUCUUCGGGGGUAGAGCACUGUUUCGGCUAGGGGGCCAUCCCGGCUUACCAACCCGAUGCAAACUACGAAUACCGAAGAAUGUUAUCACGGGAGACACACGGCGGGUGCUAACGUCCGUCGUGAAGAGGGAAACAACCCAGACCGCCAGCUAAGGUCCCAAAGUCAUGGUUAAGUGGGAAACGAUGUGGGAAGGCACAGACAGCCAGGAUGUUGGCUUAGAAGCAGCCAUCAUUUAAAGAAAGCGUAAUAGCUCACUGGUCGAGUCGGCCUGCGCGGAAGAUGUAACGGGGCUAAACCAUGCACCGAAGCUGCGGCAGCGACACUAUGUGUUGUUGGGUAGGGGAGCGUUCUGUAAGCCGUUGAAGGUGUGCUGUGAGGCAUGCUGGAGGUAUCAGAAGUGCGAAUGCUGACAUAAGUAACGAUAAAGCGGGUGAAAAGCCCGCUCGCCGGAAGACCAAGGGUUCCUGUCCAACGUUAAUCGGGGCAGGGUGAGUCGACCCCUAAGGCGAGGCCGAAAGGCGUAGUCGAUGGGAAACAGGUUAAUAUUCCUGUACUUGGUGUUACUGCGAAGGGGGGACGGAGAAGGCUAUGUUAGCCGGGCGACGGUUGUCCCGGUUUAAGCAUGUAGGCGGAACGAUUAGGUAAAUCCGGUCGUUUUUUAACGCUGAGGUGUGAUGACGAGGCACUACGGUGCUGAAGUAACAAAUGCCCUGCUUCCAGGAAAAGCCUCUAAGCAUCAGGUAACAUCAAAUCGUACCCCAAACCGACACAGGUGGUCAGGUAGAGAAUACCAAGGCGCUUGAGAGAACUCGGGUGAAGGAACUAGGCAAAAUGGUGCCGUAACUUCGGGAGAAGGCACGCUGAUAUGUAGGUGAAGCCCCUGCGGGUGGAGCUGAAAUCAGUCGAAGAUACCAGCUGGCUGCAACUGUUUAUUAAAAACACAGCACUGUGCAAACACGAAAGUGGACGUAUACGGUGUGACGCCUGCCCGGUGCCGGAAGGUUAAUUGAUGGGGUUAGCGGCAACGCGAAGCUCUUGAUCGAAGCCCCGGUAAACGGCGGCCGUAACUAUAACGGUCCUAAGGUAGCGAAAUUCCUUGUCGGGUAAGUUCCGACCUGCACGAAUGGCGUAAUGAUGGCCAGGCUGUCUCCACCCGAGACUCAGUGAAAUUGAACUCGCUGUGAAGAUGCAGUGUACCCGCGGCAAGACGGAAAGACCCCGUGAACCUUUACUAUAGCUUGACACUGAACACUGGUCCUUGAUGUGUAGGAUAGGUGGGAGGCUUUGAAGUGUGGACGCCAGUCUGCAUGGAGCCGUCCUUGAAAUACCACCCUUUAAUGGCUGGUGUUCUAACGUAGACCCGUAAUCCGGGUUGCGGACAGUGUCUGGUGGGUAGUUUGACUGGGGCGGUCUCCUCCCAAAGAGUAACGGAGGAGCACGAAGGUUAGCUAAUCCUGGUCGGACAUCAGGAGGUUAGUGCAAUGGCAUAAGCUAGCUUGACUGCGAGAGUGACGGCUCGAGCAGGUGCGAAAGCAGGUCAUAGUGAUCCGGUGGUUCUGAAUGGAAGGGCCAUCGCUCAACGGAUAAAAGGUACUCCGGGGAUAACAGGCUGAUACCGCCCAAGAGUUCAUAUCGACGGCGGUGUUUGGCACCUCGAUGUCGGCUCAUCACAUCCUGGGGCUGAAGUAGGUCCCAAGGGUAUGGCUGUUCGCCAUUUAAAGUGGUACGCGAGCUGGGUUUAGAACGUCGUGAGACAGUUCGGUCCCUAUCUGCCGUGGGCGCUGGAGAAUUGAGGGGGGCUGCUCCUAGUACGAGAGGACCGGAGUGGACGCAUCACUGGUGUUCGGGUUGUCAUGCCAAUGGCACUGCCCGGUAGCUAAAUGCGGAAAAGAUAAGUGCUGAAAGCAUCUAAGCACGAAACUUGCCCCGAGAUGAGUUCUCCCUGAGACUUUAAGUCUCCUGAAGGAACGUUGAAGACGACGACGUUGAUAGGUCGGGUGUGUAAGCGCAGCGAUGCGUUGAGCUAACCGAUACUAAUGAACCGUGAGGCUUAACCUU
rnacentral:rRNA from 1 species